AUUGAGUAGGCGGGAACCCCAACUUGUGAGGAAAUGAAAUUUUAUAUUUUCUUUUUCUUUUUUCUUCAGACAUUUUCUCUCAUUUUUUUAUUUUUCCUAAGUUUAAUUCAAUAAUUAUAACUAAUUAUGCAAUGCUCAAAACACAAUUUUCACUUCAUAAAUGUUUAUUUUAUUUUUUUCAAGUCUAAUGAGACUAAUUUUUUAUAUAUUUUAAUAAAAAUAUUAAAAUUUGAA
rnacentral:lncRNA from 1 species